GGGUUGUGAGGUUAAGCGACUAAGCGUACACGGUGGAUGCCCUGGCAGUCAGAGGCGAUGAAGGACGUGCUAAUCUGCGAAAAGCGUCGGUAAGGUGAUAUGAACCGUUAUAACCGGCGAUGUCCGAAUGGGGAAACCCAGUGCAAUUCGUUGCACUAUCGUUAACUGAAUACAUAGGUUAACGAGGCGAACCGGGGGAACUGAAACAUCUAAGUACCCCGAGGAAAAGAAAUCAACCGAGAUUCCCCCAGUAGCGGCGAGCGAACGGGGAGCAGCCCAGAGUCUGAAUCAGCUUGUGUGUUAGUGGAACGGUCUGGAAAGUCCGACGGUACAGGGUGAUAGUCCCGUACACCAAAAUGCACAGGCUGUGAACUCGAAGAGUAGGGCGGGACACGUGGUAUCCUGUCUGAAUAUGGGGGGACCAUCCUCCAAGGCUAAAUACUCCUGACUGACCGAUAGUGAACCAGUACCGUGAGGGAAAGGCGAAAAGAACCCCGGCGAGGGGAGUGAAAAAGAACCUGAAACCGUGUACGUACAAGCAGUGGGAGCACCUUCGGGUGUGACUGCGUACCUUUUGUAUAAUGGGUCAGCGACUUAUAUUCUGUAGCAAGGUUAACCGUAUAGGGGAGCCGCAGGGAAACCGAGUCUUAACUGGGCGUUAAGUUGCAGGGUAUAGACCCGAAACCCGGUGAUCUAGCCAUGGGCAGGUUGAAGGUUGGGUAACACUAACUGGAGGACCGAACCGACUAAUGUUGAAAAAUUAGCGGAUGACUUGUGGCUGGGGGUGAAAGGCCAAUCAAACCGGGAGAUAGCUGGUUCUCCCCGAAAGCUAUUUAGGUAGCGCCUCGUGAACUCAUCUUCGGGGGUAGAGCACUGUUUCGGCUAGGGGGUCAUCCCGACUUACCAACCCGAUGCAAACUACGAAUACCGAAGAAUGUUAUCACGGGAGACACACGGCGGGUGCUAACGUCCGUCGUGAAGAGGGAAACAACCCAGACCGCCAGCUAAGGUCCCAAAGUCAUGGUUAAGUGGGAAACGAUGUGGGAAGGCACAGACAGCCAGGAUGUUGGCUUAGAAGCAGCCAUCAUUUAAAGAAAGCGUAAUAGCUCACUGGUCGAGUCGGCCUGCGCGGAAGAUGUAACGGGGCUAAACCAUGCACCGAAGCUGCGGCAGCGACACUAUGUGUUGUUGGGUAGGGGAGCGUUCUGUAAGCCUGCGAAGGUGACCUGUGAGGGUUGCUGGAGGUAUCAGAAGUGCGAAUGCUGACAUAAGUAACGAUAAAGCGGGUGAAAAGCCCGCUCGCCGGAAGACCAAGGGUUCCUGUCCAACGUUAAUCGGGGCAGGGUGAGUCGACCCCUAAGGCGAGGCCGAAAGGCGUAGUCGAUGGGAAACAGGUUAAUAUUCCUGUACUUGGUGUUACUGCGAAGGGGGGACGGAGAAGGCUAUGUUAGCCGGGCGACGGUUGUCCCGGUUUAAGCAUGUAGGCUGAUUGUCCAGGCAAAUCCGGAUAAUCAAGGCUGAGGUGUGAUGACGAGGCACUACGGUGCUGAAGUAACAAAUGCCCUGCUUCCAGGAAAAGCCUCUAAGCAUCAGGUAACAUCAAAUCGUACCCCAAACCGACACAGGUGGUCAGGUAGAGAAUACCAAGGCGCUUGAGAGAACUCGGGUGAAGGAACUAGGCAAAAUGGUGCCGUAACUUCGGGAGAAGGCACGCUGGUGUGUAGGUGAAGUCCCUGCGGAUGGAGCUGAGACCAGUCGAAGAUACCAGCUGGCUGCAACUGUUUAUUAAAAACACAGCACUGUGCAAACACGAAAGUGGACGUAUACGGUGUGACGCCUGCCCGGUGCCGGAAGGUUAAUUGAUGGGGUUAUCCGUAAGGAGAAGCUCUUGAUCGAAGCCCCGGUAAACGGCGGCCGUAACUAUAACGGUCCUAAGGUAGCGAAAUUCCUUGUCGGGUAAGUUCCGACCUGCACGAAUGGCGUAAUGAUGGCCAGGCUGUCUCCACCCGAGACUCAGUGAAAUUGAACUCGCUGUGAAGAUGCAGUGUACCCGCGGCAAGACGGAAAGACCCCGUGAACCUUUACUAUAGCUUGACACUGAACAUUGAGCCUUGAUGUGUAGGAUAGGUGGGAGGCUUUGAAGCGUGGACGCCAGUCUGCGUGGAGCCAACCUUGAAAUACCACCCUUUAAUGUUUGAUGUUCUAACGUUGGCCCCUUACCGGGGUUGCGGACAGUGUCUGGUGGGUAGUUUGACUGGGGCGGUCUCCUCCCAAAGCGUAACGGAGGAGCACGAAGGUUAGCUAAUCCUGGUCGGACAUCAGGAGGUUAGUGCAAUGGCAUAAGCUAGCUUGACUGCGAGCGUGACGGCGCGAGCAGGUGCGAAAGCAGGUCAUAGUGAUCCGGUGGUUCUGAAUGGAAGGGCCAUCGCUCAACGGAUAAAAGGUACUCCGGGGAUAACAGGCUGAUACCGCCCAAGAGUUCAUAUCGACGGCGGUGUUUGGCACCUCGAUGUCGGCUCAUCACAUCCUGGGGCUGAAGUAGGUCCCAAGGGUAUGGCUGUUCGCCAUUUAAAGUGGUACGCGAGCUGGGUUUAGAACGUCGUGAGACAGUUCGGUCCCUAUCUGCCGUGGGCGCUGGAGAAUUGAGGGGGGCUGCUCCUAGUACGAGAGGACCGGAGUGGACGCAUCACUGGUGUUCGGGUUGUCAUGCCAAUGGCACUGCCCGGUAGCUAAAUGCGGAAGAGAUAAGUGCUGAAAGCAUCUAAGCACGAAACUUGCCCCGAGAUGAGUUCUCCCUGAGACUUUAAGUCUCCUGAAGGAACGUUGAAGACGACGACGUUGAUAGGCCGGGUGUGUAAGCGCAGCGAUGCGUUGAGCUAACCGGUACUAAUGAACCGUGAGGCUUAACCUUACAACGCCGAAG
rnacentral:rRNA from 1 species